GAAGCCGCGAAUAGCUCAUUACAACAGCCGUUGUUUAUUAGAUCUUAUAUCCUACUUGGAUAACUGUGGUAAUUCUAGAGCUAAUACAUGCAACAAUACCCAGACCUCACGGAAUGGGUGCACUUAUUAGACUAAAACCAAUCGGACUUCGGUCCGCCAAAUGGUGAAUCUGAAUAACUCAGCUGAUCGCAUGGUCUUUGCACCAGCGACAGAUCUUUCAAAUGUCUGUCCUAUCAACUUUCGAUGGUAGUUUACACGCCUACCAUGGUUGUUACGGGU
rnacentral:rRNA from 1 species